rnacentral:lncRNA from 1 species
CAUUUAGUCAUCAUAGCAACUAUAUAAAAAGCUCAGAUGAUCUUAUGAUUCAAUAACAGAAUCAGUACACUGCAAUAAAAGAGAGAAAGAGAGAGAGAGCUGAAAUCAGACACAUCCACACUGAGAAAAUAUCUCACCAUAAUGGAAGGAGAAGUCUCAUGCUUGUGCUUGUGCUCCACAACUUUCAGCCAGAAACCCAAAAAAGCAAAACACAUUAAGACCAUUAUAGAAAAGAAGAUGCUUUAAAUUCAUUAGAUUUAGUCAGACUCCCAUCUGUCUCCUGUAAGGUAUAUAUCCACAUACAGAGAGAGCAUCAGAAAAAUCACCAUAUCCAUAGCUUCAAAUAACUAAAUAUGAGUAGAAAAUUUUGACAUUAAUAUGAUCUUAUGAUUCAUAAACAAAAAGAUUAAUAAUCUAGAGGGAAAUUGUUAGAAAAGUCUCAAUAUUUACGGAAAAGUUACGGUUAAGUCCCAAUUUUUUUUAACAUAAAAGCCCCGAUUAUUUCAUUUUGGCUCAAAUUAACAAAAAAGUCCUUUUUUUCUUUUAACAGGAAAUGACAUAUUACCAUGUAAAAUCAACUAACUGGGACUUGUCUGUUCAAAAAAAAUAAAUUGGGACUAAAGUGUAACUUUUCCGAAAAUAUUGGGACUUUUCUGACAAUUUCCCUCUAGAUUGCAACUUAGCAACAUACAGGAGUUGACAAGAACUGAAUCUGAGUGAGUAAACAUACAUGCAUUUUGUGUCACCAUGCAUCAUCACAACUGUAGAAAAAAGAUGAGAUGAUCUUAAUAUUAAUAUCAAAAGGAAAAGGUUAAUGAUAUCAUUUUUAAUUAAACAAUGUAAAAAGCUCCUUCAUUUCUCAUCGAGGAAAACCAGAACAAUUAGACAGAGUUGAACUUUUCCUCAUUACAGUAAAAACUACAAAUCAGAGAAUUAAUAUUUAUGAACAGAAAUAAAACUCAUAUAAGUGACACUGAUAUAUCCCUUUAUCUUUCAAACCACAACAGAAUACAUACAUUAAUUAAAAGUUUAGCCAACAAAAUAAAAAGAUGAAUAAUAUAUACCUGAAAGUGGUACCUAAACACAUGAAAAUAGUCUACAAGAGGGACAUCAUAUUCAGGCUAUUAGUCGAGUUGUUUUGAACAUAAUGUCCUUCCUGCAAAUAUGAGCAUCAAUCAAGUUGAUUCCUAAUAAGAAAUACGAUACAGUUCAUGAGAAGUAAAAAAUGGAAGUCUGGAUCAUUCAAUUCAAAGUUCAUUGUUGUAAGUUCAUGUACAGAAGAAUUAGUAAAAAUACAAAAAUGUGGGCAAAAUAGUCAUUUUACAUGGAUUUAAUGGAUAUCUCAGUUGCAAUUUAACAUCAUGUAUGAGUUGACAAGAACCAAAUCAGAGUAAAUAUGUGUGCAUUAAUUAAGUAAGUGCUACAAUAGUAAUAUUGUAAUAAAAAGCUCAGAUUCAAAAUUAAAAGUUUAACAAUGAAGAUUUCAAGAACAUGAUGAUGAUGAUGAUGGAAGUUCACUAGUAGUCUGCAAUGAAUAAAUAGAUAGGAUGCCUAGAGAUAUGAAAAAAAGAUCAGGUGAAAAAAGAAAAGACAAACCAGCUAAAAUGAAAUUUACCACUGUGCAAGAGUUGACAAGAGCAUAAUCAAUCUUUAGAUUCACAAACAAAAGGUUGAUGAUAUAGAUUUCAAGCACAGAAUGUUGUGAAUAUGCCUAGGAGUAUGAAUAUGAAGGUGAAUAAGGAAAGGCAAACAAGCUUAAUUAAUUGCAAUUUACCAGCAUCACAGGAAUGGGGCCUCUAUAGCAACUGCAAAAAAAAAAAAAAAAAUAUGAAAGUUUCAAUAAUCGAAAUUCCAAGUGCAAAAAAUGAAGAAAGUUCAUAACAUUGCUAUAAAUAGAUAUGAUGACUAUAUAAGAAGUGAAGAACUAAACUUGAAUAAACAUAUGUGUAAUUGGUGCCCCCAUAGCAACUGUAAAAAAACAAUGAAACUAUCUUAAUUAGGAUCCGCACAAAAGGUAAAUAAUCUCGAUUUCACCAUAAAAUUUGAACCAUCUAAAAUACUCCCUUGUUAAGGAAAAGCAAAAAAGGAACCUCUGACAUUCAAAAAUCAAAACCCAUCAAAGAAGAAUCAAGAACAAGACAAGUGACAGAUGAAAAAACAACAUAUGAUAAACAAAGACAUGAGUUGAAUAGACAUUUCUUGGGCUUGCUUCCUAAUGAACAGAUCCAAAAGGUCAUUAAUAAGCAGAUGAAAAUAUAUUAACAUGAAAUAGGUAAUCCAUUUAAAGAAGAUUAAUUUUACUGGAAAUAAAUGGAAAACCCAUAAAAUAGAAAUGAAUAAGAAUGGACAAACCAGACAAACUGCAGUUGACAAGAGCUGACUUUCAGUAUUUUCCUCCACUAUAUAUAGCACACCUGUAUUAUAAUAAAUAAGUUACAAGUUAUUAAGAUUCAUAAUGAAAAAAACCCCAGACAAGAAUUGAAUCUUUGGAUCCAUACAUGCAUUUGUUGCCACCAUAGGAACUGUAGAAAAAGAAUGAGAUGCUCUUAAUAUUAAAAUUCAAAAGGCUAACAAUCUACACUGCUUAAUUCUGAAUGAAGACUUGAUGAGAACUAAAUAUGAGUAAAAAACAUUUAGUCAUCAUAAGAUUCAAAAUAAAAAGGUUAAUAAUGGAAGAGAAGUCGCAAAUAACUUACCUAUAUAAUUAAACCACCAUAAAGACACUUCAAUAUCACCACCAUGCCUAAGCUUAUCAAUCUCAUGCUAAUAUUUUAAAUGAAAAUAUCACCCUCAAUUUUUAAAAAACGAAUACAUAUUCAACAUUUUAACAAAAUAUAAAUAUGUAUAGUGUUAGUGUCUUAAUAUAUUAAGUUAGGUUUUCUUGGCUUUAUCAGUUAAGUCAUUCUGUCCAGAUUAAACUAAAAAACAAACAAUCAUAUAUAGCUCUCCAGAUUAAGUGCUUAGCCCAUUAAGCCAAAAAGAAACACUAAAUAUACAUUCCAUAGCAUGAAUAUGGUACUAAAUAGUGACACUGAUGUCCCUUUAUCUUUUAAACAACAACAGAAUACAUUAAAAGCUUAGCCAACAAAAUAAAGAUAAUUAAUAACCUAAACACGUGAAAAUAGUCUACAAACAUAUAUGAGCAACACAGAAAGAACUCGGAAAGGAAAAACAUUUAACUGGAAACUAUAAAAAGGUGACCACACAAAAGCUUGCAUAAUAAGGGAAAAGAAAGUGAACUUAAGUUCAAAUCAGUAGUGAAUAACUUAGACUUCAUUACACUGUUAUAAACAGAUAAUCUAGAUCUGAAACAUGUAAAAAUAGAGAAGAAAUAUGACUGAAUGAGAUGAUCUUAAGAUUCACAAUCAAAAGGUUGUUAAUAAUCUCAGAUUUCAAGAACAGAAUCUUUACACUGCAACAAAAGAGAGAAAACAUGCACAUAAAGACCAAAAUGGAAACAAAGAUACUUCAAUCCUGUAAGGUAUAUAUAUAAUAUCCACAAAAUAAACAGGUUAAUUAGUGGAGAUAAUCACUGAACCUAUAUCAUUGAAGAAAAAUAACUGUUAUAUAUGUGAUAUCCCUUUAUUUCUACUCCUACAACAAAGCACAUAAAAAUAACUUGGAAUUGCUCAUCUAGAGAAACCCAUGAAGAAAACACGCUUGUAGAUGAAUAAAUUCAAAAAAUAAUAUAUUUAUAUGGGACAGAUAAGCCAUCUAACAAAGCAUUACGAAACAAGACACAUCUCUCAACUAUUUUCAGAAAUAUUCAUCAAACCCUCCCUACGAUAGAAGGGGAAAACCCCCAAAAAAUUUAUUCUGAUUCAUUCUAUCUUCUUGUUCUUAAUGAUUGACCAAGAAACCCAAACAAUGAACUUAAGAAGAUUAAAGAGCAGGAUCAAUCGACUAUCAAAAACUAUUUCAAAUAAACAAAACCAAAAGAUUCUAAAGAUUAUCUAUGCAUAACAUGAUGAAAAACAAGAAACUGAUCGAUAACCAAGAAGUGGAAAAACCCCAAUUUUCAAGUAGGAAAAAACUGUAUAAGAACCUGUUAGCCUUUCAAAAUGAAAACCCUCGGAAAAAAUCUGUCAAAGAAGAAUCAAGCUUAAUUAAUUGCAAUUUACCACCAUCACAGGAAUGGAUUCCGAGUAAACAUCCAUGGACUUUGG